GCCUGGGUGGCUCAGUUGGUUAAGCGUCUGACUUUGGCUCAGGUCAUGAUCUCACGAUUCAUGGGUUCAAGCUCCAUGUUGGGCU
rnacentral:tRNA from 1 species